GGACGAACGCUGGCGGCGUGCUUAACACAUGCAAGUCGAACGGUGAACCGGGCUUCGGCCCGGGGAUCAGUGGCGAACGGGUGCGUAACACGUGGGCAGCCUGCCCCAGACUCUGGGAUAACUCCGGGAAAACCGGGGCUAAUACCGGAUACUCUCGACCGACCGCAUGACUGGUCGAGGAAAGCUCCGACGGUCUGGGAUGGGCCCGCGGCCUAUCAGCUUGUUGGUGGGGUAACGGCCUACCAAGGCGACGACGGGUAGCUGGUCUGAGAGGAC
rnacentral:rRNA from 1 species